UGUGUUUUGUUCCCAUCACAAUAACACUUUGCAGGUUUUUGGAAUUUUUUGAAUUCUUCUGAGACGAGAAGAGGAAGAAAUCAAAGAAGAACUCUCACACUGAUCACUGCCUCGGACCCGUUGCAAUCACAACGGAGUGGAUUUUUGUUGAAUUCUUCUCUCCUUCCGUGGGAAACAAUAAGGAAUUCUUUUUGUUCUUGGCCACAGAAGGUAAAACAAAUGGAUUUCAAAAUACCUGCACUAUAUACGAGGUGCUGAGAAGAAAGAGAAAAAUCAAAGCAGGAAAGAAAUUACAAAACGGUAGAUCCAGGCCAUUUUAGCCU
rnacentral:lncRNA from 1 species